rnacentral:rRNA from 1 species
GACGAACGCUGGCGGCGUGCUUAACACAUGCAAGUCGAACGAUGAAGCAAAGAAUUGAAGCUUCGGCAGAAAUUCAUUUCGGAUUAGUGGCAGACGGGUGAGUAACGCGUGAGCAACCUACCUCUUACAAAGGGAUAGCCUCGGGAAACCGGGAUUAAUACCAUAUAACAUUGCGACGAAGCAUUUCGAUGCAAUCAAAGCUACGGCGGUAAGAGAUGGGCUCGCGUCCCAUUAACCAGAUGGUGAGGUAACGGCUCACCAUAGUAACGAUGGGUAACCGGCCUGAGAGGGUGAACGGUCACACUGGAACUGAGACACGGUCCAGACUCCUACGGGAGGCAGUAGUGGGGAAUAUUGCACAAUGGAGGGAACUCUGAUGCAGCGACGCCGCGUGAGUGAUGAAGGAAUUCGUUUCGUAAAACUCUGUUCUAUGGGAAGAAAAGGACUGUACCAUAGGAGAAAGCUCCGGCUAAAUACGUG